UACAGAGGGUGCAAGCGUUAAUCGGAAUGACUGGGCGUAAAGGGCGUGUAGGCGGAUGCUUAAGUUAGAUGUGAAAGCCCUGGGCUUAACCUAGGAACUGCAUCUAAUACUGGGCAACUAGAGUAUGGGAGAGGGAAGUGGAAUUUCCGGUGUAGCGGUGAAAUGCGUAGAUAUCGGAAGGAACACCAGUGGCGAAGGCGGCUUCCUGGCCUAAUACUGACGCUGAGGCGCGAAAGCGUGGGGAGCAAACAGG
rnacentral:rRNA from 1 species